rnacentral:rRNA from 1 species
GACGAACGCUGGCGGCGUGCUUAACACAUGCAAGUCGAACGGAAAGGCCCUGCUCUUGUGGGGUGCUCGAGUGGCGAACGGGUGAGUAACACGUGAGUAACCUGCCCUUGACUUUGGGAUAACUUCAGGAAACUGGGGCUAAUACCGGAUAGGAGCUCCUGCUGCAUGGUGGGGGAUGGAAAGUUUCGGCGGUUGGGGAUGGACUCGCGGCUUAUCAGCUUGUUGGUGGGGUAGUGGCUUACCAAGGGUUUGACGGGUAGCCGGCCUGGGAGGGUGAACGGCGUCAUGGGGACUGAGGUACGCACCAGACGCGUACGGGAGGCAGCAGGCGGGAGUAUUGCACAGUGGGCGGAAGCGUGAUGCAGCAACGCCGCGUGCGGAAUAACGGCCUUCGGGUUGUGAACCGCUUUCGCCUGUGACGAAGCGUGAGUGACGGUAAUGAGUAAAGAAGCACCGGCUAACUACGUG